AACGAACGCUGGCGGCAGGCUUAACACAUGCAAGUCGAACGCCCCGCAAGGGGAGUGGCAGACGGGUGAGUAACGCGUGGGAAUCUACCCAUCCCUACGGAACAACUCCGGGAAACUGGAGCUAAUACCGUAUACGCCCUUAGGGGGAAUGUUUUAUCGGGGAUGGAUGAGCCCUCGUUGGAGUAGCUAGUUGGUGGGGGAAAGGCCUACCAAGGCGACGAUCCGUAGCUGGUCUGAGAGGAUGAUCAGACACAUUGGGACUGAGACACGGCCCAAACUCCUACGGUAGGCAGCAGUGGGGAAGAUUGGACAAUGGGCGCAAGCCUGAUCCAGCCAUGCCGCGUGAGUGAUGAAGGCCUUAGGGUUGUAAAGCUCUUUCACCGACGAAGAUAAUGACGGUAGUCGGAGAAGAAGCCCCGGCUAACUUCGUGCCAGCCGCCGCAGUAAUAC
rnacentral:rRNA from 1 species